AAUAGAUUUACACGGCUCAUAUUCUCACAGCGUCAGAUGUCAGCACAUUCGACAUCUUCAACUGGUCAUAAAUAGACAAGAACGUGAUGCCCAUAUUCAGACCAUUGACAUUUCCCUCUUCUAGUGAGCACGCUCUCAGUAUUUGCAGUCUCAUGUUGACACAGGAAAUGCUGGUGGGUUUCCCCUUCCUGAGGGCGAGGUGUGGCCCUCCCGCACCCUGCUCCUGGCCCUCGGGCCCUCGGGGCAGAUAAUGAAGCCUCCUUAUCUAUAAAUAACAUCUGUGAAGCUUACAGCUGGAGAGAAAAAUUGAAUUUUUUUUUUUUUGCUACUCUUUCAAAUGAAAUACAACCUUGAUUACGAUGGGGAUGUUGGUGAUGAGAAGAGAAAGGAAAGAAGAACCUGGGAAUCCCUCCCCACUGGCCCUGACAAAUGAGGAUGAUUGUCAAGGGCUUUGGAAGAUGCUGCUUCUCCUGGGCAUCGUCUGGAAGCCUUCCUGCACAGGUUUGCAUCCCCUUUUCCGUGCAGCGCAAAGGAGCCUGGAACAGAGGGCUCCUUGGGCCCCGGUGGGACCCUUAGAGUUUGCUGGCAGUAGAGCCGGGGUGGGGCCAGGGUGUGCCGUCUGUACUUUUCUCUGGUCGGGAGCCACAGUGGUGUCUGCCCCUCCUUCUCUCAUUCUCAUGCCUCCCUCUUGUCUUUUGAGCAUCCCAGGUCCUUCUCACCUUCCCAGGACCCCAUCCGGGGAGCUGGAGCUGGCUCUCUGAACAUCUUUCGAAUCAGAGAACUGGUCCCCCAGGCAGGGAGAAGUCCUACAUCUGUGGCUGGCCAACCCGUUCUUUAGCUGAUCCAUCACACAUCUGUGAAGCACCCACUCUGUUUGAGGCAUGGUGCUGGUCUCUGGGGGGCAAUGGUCCUCUGUGUUUCUCCAGGGAAUGUACUUGGACAUGAACUUCUGGGUGGCAGCUACACAUUUUCAGUGUUGAUAUUCAUCGCUAUUGCAGCUGAGAAAGUGAGAGACCACCUUCCCCUCAUUCUCACCAACACUUGAAGCCGCCUUUUGCUGUUAACGGCAUCCUGAUUUGCCCCCGAUUAGGAGUGCGGUUGGGCCCACUCUCACAGAAUCUAGGGGACCCACCACCUCCCUGUUCUUCGGUGGGUCUGCUGGGCUUUCUGGCUGAGUCACCACUAGCACGACCCUCAGGGCAGUGGGUUUGGUUUUUAAUUCCAAUUCUGCAAUGGACUUUAGGGUUAGCCUAGCCCAGAGGGUCCCGGGUGCUUCCCUUUGUCCAGUACAGGGUGGGCAUUUUUGCCCUUGGCCUAGAGUUUUUGGAGGAAGAGGGGGUUCCCGCCGAGGACACUCUGAGCCCUAAGAGACCUGGUGCCUGUGUCUGCCAUCCUGCUCUGGGGAGGGCACCCCAGCCUGGCGGGACCUGGGGUUUUUGUUUGAUUUUCACUGCAGCUAUUCCGGGGCGGAGCACGAGGGGACUUCCCACCAGGGGAAGGAUGAUGGCAUCAGGCCACACGCGGGCGGGACUGAGUUUUAGAGAACGGGGUGUCCUCUUUGAUUCCCAGGGCUGGAAACCGAGGCCCGUAGCAGCAGGAGGCUGGCAGAGCUGCAGAGCUGAGGGCUGGCUGAGCCUCCUGGAACCCAGAGCUCCCCCCAGCCCCCAGGCACCUGGCACCCUGAGGGGCAACAUGCGAGGCCUUGGGGGGCAUUCAGCACCACCUGCAAGUUCUCGCCCCAUCAGAGGUGAAGAUGGUGGCAACCUCGCCUUCAUAUCAGCAAGAAUGGCUCUGCCCUAUUUACUCAACAAAUCACAUGGAUAUUACUCUUCACUGACAGGCACGUUUGGAUUAAAUCAGACUUUUAAGUGAAGAAAACGUUGUUCAAAGUUCUCUCUCUUUUGUUUUCCU